CUUGUAUAUACUUUACUUUCAUUUGUAGCAAAAAAUCAUCAAUCUCCUUUGUAACGCAAUCAUAUUAUCAAUGUUCAACGUUGUUCUAUCACAUUACUGCUUCUUUCUCUUGUUCUUAUAACCUUGGUGAAGCAACCUAUUUUUCAAUAUCGCACAAUGUUGUCAAUCGCCAUUUUUCAAUCUUGUUAUCAUUCCAAAACUCGCACUUUGUUAGAAUUGUAAAACUGUGGAACUAUGUAUGUAAAUCUGCUCCUCCCAACUGCUACGACACUCUUUCCAACUUUAAAACAUACCUACACAAGACUUAUCUCCACAGCCACUGCUUACACUCCUGACGAACCAAACUCGCACUCUUUGAUCACGACCAACUGACAUCUUCCACUCCUCCAUGUAUCUCUUUCUACCUCUCCUCUCUUUUCAUCUACUGUGCUUCUAACCUUCCAUCUCUCUCUUCUAUUUCAUAUAUUUUGUAAUUUUGUCUGUUCUGUAAUAUUUAGUGGUGAACACCCUGCAUGGGACAUGGUCUCGUUUGUGCUUCACCUCUUUUGGCACCUGUUUGUUUGAUGUUAUCCAUAUGUUUCACAAAUGUAAUAGUCUAU